rnacentral:rRNA from 1 species
GACGGAGGGAGCAAGCGUUGUCCGGAUUUACUGGGCGUAAAGCGCGCGUAGGCGGCCGUUUAAGUCGGCGGUGAAAUUGCGGGGCUUAACUCCGCAACUGCCGUCGAUACUGAUCGGCUCGAGUCCGGGAGAGGGAAGCGGAAUUCCUGGUGUAGCGGUGGAAUGCGUAGAUAUCAGGAAGAACACCGGUGGCGAAGGCGGCUUCCUGGACCGGUACUGACGCUGAGGCGCGAAAGCUAGGGGAGCGAACGGG